AGCGAACGCUGGCGGCAGGCCUAACACAUGCAAGUCGAACGAACUCUUCGGAGUUAGUGGCGGACGGGUGAGUAACACGUGGGAACGUGCCUUUAGGUUCGGAAUAACUCAGGGAAACUUGUGCUAAUACCGAAUGUGCCCUUCGGGGGAAAGAUUUAUCGCCUUUAGAGCGGCCCUCGUCUGAUUAGCUAGUUGGUGAGGUAAAGGUCCACCAAGGCUACGAUCAGUAGCUGGUCUGAGAGGAUGAGCAGCCACAUUGGGACUGAGACACGGCCCAAACUCCUACGGGAGGCAGCAGUGGGGAAUCUUGCGCAAUGGGCGAAAGCCUGACGCAGCCAUGCCGCGUGGAUGAUGAAGGUCUUAGGAUUGUAAAAUCCUUUCACCGGUGAAGAUAAUGACUGUAGCCGGAGAAGAAGCCCCGGCUAACUUCGUGCCAGCAGCCGCAGUAA
rnacentral:rRNA from 1 species